GUCGAGAAUCUUUCACAAUGGGGGCAACCCUGAUGGAGCGACGCCGCGUGGAGGAUAAGGUCUUCGGAUUGUAAACUCCUGUCAUGCGUGAACAAGGUUGCUUGGUUAAUACCUGGGCAAAUUGAUGGUAACGCAAGAGGAAGAGACGGCUAACUCUGUGCCAGCAGCCGCGGUAAUACAGAGGUCUCAAGCGUUGUUCGGAAUCACUGGGCGUAAAGGGUGCGUAGGUGGCGUGGUAAGUCAGAUGUGAAAGCCCGGGGCUCAACCUCGGAACUGCAUCCUAUACUGCCAUGCUAGAGUACUGGAUAGGUGACUAGAAUUCUCGGUGUAGCAGUGAAAUGCGUAGAUAUCGAGAGGAAUACCAAAGGCGUAGGCAGGUCACUGGACAGUUACUGACACUGAGGCACGAAGGCCAGGGGAGCGAACGGGAUUAGAUACCCGAGUAGUCC
rnacentral:rRNA from 1 species